rnacentral:rRNA from 1 species
CACGUAGGGUGCGAGCGUUGUCCGGAAUUAUUGGGCGUAAAGAGCUCGUAGGCGGUCUGUCGCGUCGGAUGUGAAAGCCCGGGGCUUAACCCCCGGGUCUGCAUUCGAUACGGGCAGACUAGAGUGUGGUAGGGGAGAUCGGAAUUCCUGGUGUAGCGGUGAAAUGCGCAGAUAUCAGGAGGAACACCGGUGGCGAAGGCGGAUCUCUGGGCCAUUACUGACGCUGAGGAGCGAAAGCGUGGGGAGCGAACAGG